CCAGUCAGCUCUGCAGACUCGACUCUGGUAAGCCUGUAAGCUCAGUCUCCGGCGGUGGGAAGAGUCGGUUCUCCCCUGACCCACCCUCAGAGCUUCCUGGUCCUGCCUCAGCUCUGGGAUCGGAAUGGAUGGGAAACCCGUGCGCCUGAUCGCGGCAGCCGAUAGUAACAUGGGCAUCGGUGUUGGUGGAAACGUGCCCUGGGUCCUACCGAAUGAAUCUAAUUACUUUCUUUCAAGGAUAACUACCGUAUCCACCCCAGGCAAGAAAAACCUUGUGAUCUGGGGUAAAGGAAGUGCCAUUAGAGACUGUUUAUCUUUGCCAAACUGCUAUUGUGUAGUUUUAAGCAGAACAUUGAGUUCUGUGCCUGAGAAUGCGAACUAUCUCUGCCGUGACCUGCCUAGCGCUAUUCAACUGUGUUCGCUCCCUCCCUUGAGUAAAGAGAUUGAAACAAUAUGGGUUAUAGGUGGCGUCAAACCUUUUGAGGAGGCCAUGAAACAUCCGGACUGCGACCAGAUUUAUCUAACAAGUAUCAUGGCUAAAUUCAAUGCUGAUACUUUCUUCCCGCAAUUUGACCGGGAGACGUUCAAGCUGCUCGAUGAGAGAGUCUGAAGGAGAUUGCGGAGUGAUGCCAACAUUGCAGGAGAGCAUUGUAUAAAAGAGAAGACGGAGCCAUGUUAUCUAGCUGAGGACAUCUAGCACAGUUCUCCUAAAGUUUUUCAUCCUGUACAUAACAGGACAGAAUUGCAAGAAUACCAAACUUGAAACACGGUAGAGUGUUGAACGAAUACUUCACAUCCAUCUUCAUCCAAGAGAAUGAGGAUAAAGAUAUCGAUCUCGGGGAGAGAGACUGCGAUGUUCUUGAGCAAGUUGAUACAGGGAGUGACAAGGUUUCCAGGAGUUCCAAGUGAAAUCCAAGAGGAAAAUGGCAUCAAAUACAAAUUUCAAGUCUUUCAAAAAGUUAGCAAAUAACAAAUCUAAAUAUUAAACCUUGUGCGGCUAGUAUUGAGUUACAAGUGUGUGAAUCUUAUGGUGUGUUGGAGUUUAAGGUUAAAGUGAAUUUUAAGGAAUAUCUGAGGAAAUUCCAAUAUUUAGAACAUUUUUUGGAUUAUGGGAUGAGAAGGAUCAGAAGAGAUUCCAAGUGGGUGAGUGGAUUUGAACUCUCAUUGACCCAAAGGAUUGAUGUCGUGAAGAUCAAUUGUCUUGAAUGUUUCAGGGGUGAAUUUAUAUAUUACAGCUCAGAAGAAGGCCAUUCAGCCUGUUGUGUUUGUGCUGGCUCUCUGCAAGAGUGAUUUCCCUUAUCCCAUUCCUCUGCCUUUUCUCUGACGCUCUGCAUUUCUUUCUCUUCUCAUAAUUAUCCAAAUCUCUCCUGAAGGCCUCGGUUGUCGUAGCUUAGUAUUUACAGUACAGAAACAGGCCAUUUGACCCUACUGGUCCAUUCUGGUGUUUAUGCUCCACGCAAACCUCCUCCCACCCCUCUUCACAAACACCAUCAACAUGUCCUCUGUUCCUAAUUUUGUCCAGCUUCCCUUUAAAUGUGUCUAUGCUACUUGCCUCAAUUACUGCUUGUGGUAGUGAGUUCCACAUUCUCACCUGGAUAAGGACAUUUCUCCUGAAUUCCCUAUUGAAUUUAUCAGUGCUGAUCUUAUGUCUAGUUUUAGUACACACCCCCCCACCACAUCUUCUGUACAUCUAUCCUAUCAAACCUCUUCAUAAUUUUGAAGACCUCAGCAGAUCACCCCUUGAUCUCUCCAAAGGACACACAACUGGUCAAUCAUUGCUAAUAGGUAUAACCUCUCAGUUCUGCUAUAAUUCUAGUCAUUCUUUGUGAUCCUGGGUUCUUGAAAAAAAAAUAAAAUAAAAACAUCCUUCAUAAGAAUGUUUUCAGCUGUUAAAAUGUUUCUGGGUCUCUAUUUCCAUUCUCAUAUCAGGACUGGUAGGGGCAAUUUUUAAAAUCAUGAUCUAACAUUAGUGGACAUAUGGAAUGCUUUGUCUUACCUAUCAUGGUUCAAACUCCCCGACUUAACCCUUCAAUUGCUCUGAGGUGGAGUUUUUUCAGGUUGAUUUUAGUAUUCAUGUAUAUAAUUGGUGUUACCUACGACCUUCACAGAAGCUACCUUGUCUAACGGAGCGAUGCACACUAUUACAACAGGAGAAUCAUUCUCAGCAAGGUUUCACUCUAUCAGAGAGAGAACCCUGAUCGAACGGGUUAACGAUAUCCGCCCAUUUGCUGCAGAGCCUGGACCACCAACAAAAUGUGAAUGAGAGCUGUUGGUACAGCACCCAGCUGGUGGGCUACCACUCUGUCCCUUGGGGACAGUAAAAAAGUCAGCCACAAAGCUUGUUGCUUGAGAGAGCUGAUUUUAUUCCUUUGGUGCGUGAUACUUUAUGAAACUUCAAUGUGUCAUAAAUAAUAUAACUUAAUAUUAUUGGAUGAAAAAAAUUGUUCAAUGAUUGAAACACAGUACAAGUUUGUAAGAAAAUCCUCUUUCCUUCAUUUAAUGUGUUGUGAAUGAGUCAGCCCUUCCAUAUCAGGUCUUGGCAUCUAAAUCAAAUGUGGACAUUAAACUGUGUGUAACACAA